rnacentral:rRNA from 1 species
AUUGAACGCUGGCGGCAGGCCUAACACAUGCAAGUCGAACGAGUGGCGGACGGGUGAGUAAUGUCUGGGAAACUGCCUGAUGGAGGGGGAUAACUACUGGAAACGGUAGCUAAUACCGCAUACCAUCGGAUGUGCCCAGAUGGGAUUAGCUAGUAGGGGGGGUAAAGGCUCACCUAGGCGACGAUCCCUACCUGGUCUGAGAGGAUGACCAGCCAGACAGGAACUGAGACACUGCCCAGGCUCCAUCGGGAGGCAGCAGUGGGGAGUAUUGCACAAUGGGCGCAAGCCUGAGGCAGCCAUGCCGGGUGUUUGAAUAAGGCCUUCGGGUUGUAAAGCACUUUCAGCGGGUAGGCGUUACCCGCAGAAGAAGCACCGGCUAACUCCGUGCCAGCGGCCGCGGUAAUUC